AUGCUUAUUUCCCUGAUGGAUGACACGUAUGAUUCCCAUGCCACCAUAGAGGAAUGUCGAUUGCUAAAUGCGGCCAUACAAAGAUGGGAUGAGAGUGCCACUUCUCUUCUACCCAACUACCUUCAAAGAUUCUAUAUUGAAUUGUUGAGGAUAUUUAAUGAACAUAAGCGUGAAGUGGCCAUUCGUGACACCUACCAUGUUGCCUAUGCCCGGAAAGUGUUUCAAGAUCUAUCAGCUUAUUAUCUCCAAGAAGCUGAAUGGUUACACCAGAAUCACAAGCCAAGCUUCAAAGAUCAAAUGAGUUUAUCUGCCAUGUCCAUAGGAUCACCAACAUUAUGUAUAGGUUUGAUGGUUGGCAUGGGUGAUCUAGUGACGAGGGAAUCAUUUGAGUGGGCAGCUGGUUACCCUAAUGUCACCAUAUCAUGCGGGAAGAUAGCAUGUCUAAUGGAUGACAUUGCUGCAUUUAAAGGCGGGAAGGCCAAGGGAGAUAUAACAACCUCUAUAGAGUGUUACAUGGUUGAGCAUAGGGUCACAAGUGCGGUUGCCAUUUCCAAGAUCCUUUCACUGCUAGAAGAUGACUGGAAAACUCUAAAUCAAGCUCUCUUUCAACAUCACGCACAACUCCCGAUGGUGCGGAGGAUUAUUAACUUUGCUAAUAGCAUGCCAUUAUUCUAUGCUGAGAAAGAUGCAUAUACCUUCAAUAUCCAUCUUAAGGAUACCGUUGAGAGCCUUUUUGUUGAAACCAUUCCCAUGUAG
rnacentral:rRNA from 1 species